AAUAUUGCACAAUGGAGGGAACUCUGAUGCAGCAACGCCGCGUGAGUGAAGAAGGUUUUCGGAUCGUAAAACUCUGUCAUAGGGGAAGAAUAAAUGACUGUACCCAAUGAGGAUGCCCCGGCUAACUACGUGCCAGCAGCCGCGGUAAUACGUAGGGGGCGAGCGUUGUCCGGAAUUACUGGGCGUAAAGGGUGCGUAGGCGGCCGCUUAAGUCAGAUGUGAAAGACCACAGCUUAACUGUGGGGUUGGAUUUGAAACGGGGGGGCUUGAGUAUCGGAGAGGGUAGUGGAAUUCCCAGUGUAGCGGUGGAAUGCGUAGAUAUUGGGAGGAACACCAGUGGCGAAGGCGACUACCUGGACGAAAACUGACGCUGAGGCACGAAAGCUAGGGGAGCAAAC
rnacentral:rRNA from 1 species